rnacentral:rRNA from 1 species
AGAUUGAACGCUGGCGGCAGGCCUAACACAUGCAAGUCGAGCGGCAGCACGGGUACUUGUACCUGGUGGCGAGCGGCGGACGGGUGAGUAAUGCCUAGGAAUCUGCCUGGUAGUGGGGGAUAACGCUCGGAAACGGACGCUAAUACCGCAUACGUCCUACGGGAGAAAG